rnacentral:rRNA from 1 species
CCCUACUGCUAUCGGGGUGGGACUAAGACAUGCUAGUCGAGCGCCUUGAGCUAUGGCGAGGCGCGGCGUACAGCUCAGUAACACGUGGCUAACCUACCCUUAGGACGGAGACAACCCCGGGAAACUGGGGCUAAUAUCUGAUAGGUGAGGAGGCCUGGAAUGGUUCUUCGCUGAAAAGGCGUUGAAACCAUGCUUUUCAGCGUCGCCUAAGGAUGGGGCCGCGUCCGAUCAGGUUGUUGGUGGGGUAACGGCUCACCAAGCCUAUAACCGGUACGGGCCGUGAGAGCGGGAGCCCGGAGAUGGGCACUGAGACAAGGGCCCAGGCCCUACGGGGCGCAGCAGUCGCGAAAACUCCGCAAUGCGCGAAAGCGUGACGGGGCUACCCCGAGUGCCGUCCGCUGAGGAUGGCUUUUCCCCGGUGUAAUGAGCCGGGGGAAUAAGGAGAGGGCAAGUCUGGCGUCAGCCGCCGCGGUAAUACCAGCUCUCCGAGUGGUAGGGACGAUUAUUGGGCUUAAAGCGUCCGUAGCCGGCUUAGCAAGUCUUCUGUUAAAUUCAGCGACCUAAUCGUUGAGCCGCGGGAGAUACUACUAGGCUAGGAGGCGGGAGAGGCCGACGGUAUUCUCGGGGUAGGGGUGAAAUCCUAUAAUCCCGGGAGGACCACCAGUGGCGAAGGCUGUCGGCUAGAACGCGCUCGACGGUGAGGGACGAAAGCUGGGGGAGCGAACCGGAUUAGAUACCCGGGUAGUCCCAGCUGUAAACGAUGCGGGCUAGGUGUUGGGGUGGCUACGAGCCACUUCAGUGCCGCAGGGAAGCCAUUAAGCCCGCCGCCUGGGGAGUACGGCCGCAAGGCUGAAACUUAAAGGAAUUGGCGGGGGAGCACCACAAGGCGUGAAGCUUGCGGUUC